rnacentral:rRNA from 1 species
AUUGAACGCUGGCGGCAGGCCUAACACAUGCAAGUCGAACGAGUGGCGGACGGGUGAGUAAUGUCUGGGAAACUGCCUGAUGGAGGGGGAUAACUACUGGAAACGGUAGCUAAUACCGCAUACCAUCGGAUGUGCCCUGAUGGGAUUAGCUAGUAGGUGGGGUAACGGCUCACCUAGGCGCCGAUCCCUAGCUGGUCUGAGAGGAUGACCAGCCACACUGGGACUGAGACACGGUCCAGACUCCGACGGGAGGCAGCAGUGGGGAAUAUUGCACAAUGGGCGCAAGCCUGAUGCAGCCAUGCCGCGUGUGUGAAGAAGGCCUUCGGGUUGUAAAGCACGUUCAGCGGGGAGGCGUUGACCGCAGAAGAAGCACCGGCUAACUCCGUGCCAGCAGCCGCGGUAAUUC